rnacentral:rRNA from 1 species
UACGUAGGGUGCAAGCGUUAAUCGGAAUUACUGGGCGUAAAGCGUGCGCAGGCGGUUAUGCAAGACAGAUGUGAAAUCCCCGGGCUCAACCUGGGAACUGCAUUUGUGACUGCAUGGCUGGAGUGCGGCAGAGGGGGAUGGAAUUCCGCGUGUAGCAGUGAAAUGUGUAGAUAUUCGGAAGAACACCAGUGGCGAAGGCAGCGAACUGGCGCUUUAUCGACGCUCAUGCACGAAAGCAUGGGGAUCAAACAGG